rnacentral:rRNA from 1 species
AGAUUAAACUGAAGAGUUUGAUCCUGGCUCAGAUUGAACGCUGGCGGCAUGCUUUACACAUGCAAGUCGAACGGUAACAGGGAGCUUGCUCCGCUGACGAGUGGCGAACGGGUGAGUAAUAUAUCGGAACGUACCCAAGAGUGGGGGAUAACGUAGCGAAAGUUACGCUAAUACCGCAUACGAUCUAAGGAUGAAAGCAGGGGACCGCAAGGCCUUGUGCUCCUGGAGCGGCCGAUAUCUGAUUAGCUAGUUGGUAGGGUAAAGGCCUACCAAGGCAUCGAUCAGUAGCUGGUCUGAGAGGACGACCAGCCACACUGGAACUGAGACACGGUCCAGACUCCUACGGGAGGCAGCAGUGGGGAAUUUUGGACAAUGGGCGCAAGCCUGAUCCAGCAAUGCCGCGUGAGUGAAGAAGGCCUUCGGGUUGUAAAGCUCUUUUGUCAGGGAAGAAACGGGUGCGGCUAAUAUCUGCAUCUAAUGACGGUACCUGAAGAAUAAGCACCGGCUAACUACGUGCCAGCAGCCGCGGUAAUACGUAGGGUGCAAGCGUUAAUCGGAAUUACUGGGCGUAAAGCGUGCGCAGGCGGUUUUGUAAGUCUGUUGUGAAAUCCCCGGGCUUAACCUGGGAAUGGCAAUGGAGACUGCAAGGCUAGAGUUUGGCAGAGGGGGGUAGAAUUCCACGUGUAGCAGUGAAAUGCGUAGAGAUGUGGAGGAACACCGAUGGCGAAGGCAGCCCCCUGGGUCAAGACUGACGCUCAUGCACGAAAGCGUGGGGAGCAAACAGGAUUAGAUACCCUGGUAGUCCACGCCCUAAACGAUGUCUACUAGUUGUCGGGUCUUAAUUGACUUGGUAACGCAGCUAACGCGUGAAGUAGACCGCCUGGGGAGUACGGUCGCAAGAUUAAAACUCAAAGGAAUUGACGGGGACCCGCACAAGCGGUGGAUGAUGUGGAUUAAUUCGAUGCAACGCGAAAAACCUUACCUACCCUUGACAUGUACGGAAGCCACGAGAGAUCGAGGUGUGCUCGAAAGAGAACCGUAACACAGGUGCUGCAUGGCUGUCGUCAGCUCGUGUCGUGAGAUGUUGGGUUAAGUCCCGCAACGAGCGCAACCCUUGUCAUUAGUUGCUACGAAAGAGCACUCUAAUGAGACUGCCGGUGACAAACCGGAGGAAGGUGGGGAUGACGUCAAGUCCUCAUGGCCCUUAUGGGUAGGGCUUCACACGUCAUACAAUGGUACAUACAGAGGGCCGCCAACCCGCGAGGGGGAGCUAAUCCCAGAAAGUGUAUCGUAGUCCGGAUUGUAGUCUGCAACUCGACUGCAUGAAGUUGGAAUCGCUAGUAAUCGCGGAUCAGCAUGUCGCGGUGAAUACGUUCCCGGGUCUUGUACACACCGCCCGUCACACCAUGGGAGCGGGUUUUACCAGAAGUAGGUAGCUUAACCGUAAGGAGGGCGCUUACCACGGUAGGAUUCGUGACUGGGGUGAAGUCGUAACAAGGUAGCCGUAUCGGAAGGUGCGGCUGGAUCACCUCCUUUCUAG